rnacentral:rRNA from 1 species
UACGUAGGGGGCAAGCGUUGUCCGGAAUUAUUGGGCGUAAAGCGCGUGUAGGCGGUCCGGUAAGUCCGCUGUGAAAGUCGGGGGCUCAACCCUCGGAUGCCGGUGGAUACUGUCGGGCUUGAGUACGGUAGAGGCGAGUGGAAUUCCUGGUGUAGCGGUGAAAUGCGCAGAUAUCAGGAGGAACACCGAUUGCGAAGGCAGCUCGCUGGGACGUUACUGACGCUGAGACGCGAAAGCUUGGGGAGCAAACAGG